GAUGAAGAACGCAGCAAAAUGCGAUAAGUAAUGUGAAUUGCAGAAUUCAGUGAAUCAUCGAAUCUUUGAACGCACAUUGCGCCCGCCAGUAUUCUGGCGGGCAUGCCUGUUCGAGCGUCAUUUCACCACUCAAGCCUGGCUUGGUGUUGGGCGACGUCCUCUUUGGGGACGCGCCUCGAAACGCUCGGCGGCGUGGCACCGGCUUUAAGCGUAGCAGAAUCUUUCGCUUUGGAAGUCGGGGCCCCGUCUGCCGGAAGACCUGCUCGCAAGGUUGACCUCGGAUCAGGCAGGGAUACCCGCUGAACUUAAGCAUAUCAAUAAGCGGAGGA
rnacentral:misc_RNA from 1 species